CGUAUGCUUACAUACAGUUGAAGGGCUAUGUUCUUCGGAACACGCCUGACAGCGUACCUUUUGUAUAAUGAGCCAGCGACUUACUCUUUGCAGCGAGGUUAAGCCGAUUGAGGUGUAGCCGUAGCGAAAGCGAGUCUUAAACGGGCGUUUUAGUUGCAAGGAGUAGACCCGAAAGCAGCGUGAGCUAGGCAUGGGCAGGUUGAAGCCAAUGUAAAAAUUGGUGGAGGACCGAACCGAUCGUUGCUGAAAAAGCGUCGGAUGACCUGUGUCUAGGAGUGAAAGGCUAAUCAAACCUGCAUAUAGCUGGUUCUCCCCGAAAUCUAUUUAGGUAGAGCCUGGUGGCAUGAGUACCGGAGGUAGAGCACUGGAUGGGCUAGGGGGUCCUACAAGACUACCAAACCAACCAAACUCCGAAUUCCGUAUACUUGGACCACUGGAGACAGAAGAUGUGGGAUAAACUUCAUAUUCGAGAGGGAAACAGCCCAGACCGUCAGCUAAGGUCCCAAAAUUUAGACUAAGU
rnacentral:rRNA from 1 species